rnacentral:rRNA from 1 species
AGUGAACGCUGGCGGUAGGCCUAACACAUGCAAGUCGAACGGCAGCACAGUAAGAGCUUGCUCUUACGGGUGGCGAGUGGCGGACGGGUGAGGAAUACAUCGGAAUCUACUUUUUCGUGGGGGGCAACGUAGGGAAACUUACGCAAAUACAGCAUACUACCUACGGGUGAAAGCAGGGGAUCUUCGGACCUUGCGCGAUCGAAUCAGCCGAUGUCGGAUUAGCUAGUUGGCGGGGUAACUGCCCACCAAGGCUACGAUCCGUAGCUGGUCUGAGAGGAUGAUCAGCCACACUGGAACUGAGACACGGUCCAGACUCCUACGGGAGGCAGCAGUGGGGAAUAUUGGACAAUGGGCGCAAGCCUGAUCCAGCCAUACCGCGUGGGUGAAGAAGGCCUUCGGGUUGUAAAGCCCUUUUGUUGGGAAAGAAAAGCAGCAGGUUAAUACCCCGCUGUUCUGACGGUACCCAAAGAAUAAGCACCGGCUAACUUCGUG